rnacentral:rRNA from 1 species
AACGUAGGAGACAAACGUUAUCCGGAGUUACUGGGCGUAAAGGGCGUGUAGGCGGUUUGUUAAGUCUGGCGUGAAAGCUCUCGGCUAAACCGGGAGAGGUCGUUGGAUACUGGCAGACUAGAGGACGGUAGAGGCGUGUGGAAUUCCGGGUGUAGUGGUGAAAUGCGCAGAUAUCAGGAGGAACACCGGUGGCGAAGGCGGGUCUCUGGGCAAUUCCUGACGCUGAGGCGCGAAAGCGUGGGGAGCAAACGGG